UAGCCCAUAGUUUAUAAACACUUGGUAGAACUAUAGCCGGAGUCAGUUCCGGCAUGUGGCUGUACACAUUUACAGUCAUACAUGAACGUGACAUACAGCUAAUUAGUAGUUCUCCAAGCCAGUGCUGUGUUUCAGUCAUUGCUUCCCUCCUUGGAUGGUUCAGAAGGUACACAAAUUCAUCCCAAACAUAAUUUUUCAAGUUUGAAUAAUAACUUAAAAAUCAACCCCAAGGUAAAAGUUGUAGGACGACAUAAGAAAUGAAGCCCCUUUUCCUGUUUCCCGUUGACUUCUCAGUUAGCCCUGAGGAAGGAUGGAGGGCACUGGGCAUAAAGGAAGGGAGAGUAUUGCACUCAUCCAGGGCAUGGAAGAAGGUCAAGCGUGACCAUCCACUCUCAGGACCAUGAAGCACCGGCCAUGUUGCUGUUUCAGCUGGAAAUAAAAGGCUAGAGCAUCCUGA